AUUUUUUUUUUUUAACGUCUGGAUUUAUUAUUUAUUGUAAAUUAUGAGAACUGUUACAUAGACGAUUCUACAACGGACAAUUUCUUCCGACCUUUAUUAGAUCCACGACAGACGACAUCUUCUUCACCUUCUUCUUCAUACUCACCUCCUUCGCCUCCUUCUUUAUGCUCUUAAUGGACACUUCCCUCUCUGCGUAGAAUCCUGGCGAACGGCUAUAAUUGUACAUCGCUGGAGAUCUCCUGCACACUUGCCUCUAAUAAUCUGCAAAUUUAUUAAUAAAUCGCAGUAUCUGGGACUCGAACCCCAAACCUUUGGGUGUAGAAGCAUUAAUUAACCCUUGUUCAACC
rnacentral:lncRNA from 1 species